AACCGCCGUAUACCAGACCGGUAUGUACGGUGGUGUAGGAGGGUCGGCGGUUAAUCACCGCCCCCUAUCCUAAU
rnacentral:autocatalytically_spliced_intron from 1 species